rnacentral:rRNA from 1 species
UACAGAGGGGGCAAGCGUUGUUCGGAACUACUGGGCGUAAAGGGCGCGUAGGCGGCCUGCUAAGUCGAACGUGAAAUCCCUGGGCUCAACCCAGGAACUGCGUCCGAUACUGGUUGGCUUGAAUCCGGGAGAGGGAUGCGGAAUUCCAGGUGUAGCGGUGAAAUGCGUAGAUAUCUGGAGGAACACCGGUGGCGAAGGCGGCAUCCUGGACCGGCAUUGACGCUGAGGCGCGAAAGCCAGGGGAGCAAACGGG